rnacentral:rRNA from 1 species
ACUCCUACGGGGAGGCAGCAGUGAGGAAUAUUGGUCAAUGGACGCAAGUCUGAACCAGCCAUGUCGCGUGCAGGAAGACUGCCCCUAUGGGUUGUAAACUGCUUUUUAUACGGGAAGAAAUAUAGCUACGUGUAGUUAUUUGCCGGUACCGUAUGAAUAAGCAUCGGCUAACUCCGUGCCAGCAGCCGCGGUAAUACGGAGGAUGCGAGCGUUAUCCGGAUUCAUUGGGUUUAAAGGGUGCGUAGGCGGAAGUAUAAGUCAGGGGUGAAAGUUUGUGGCUCAACCAUAAAAUUGCCUUUGAUACUGUAUUUCUUGAGUACAUUUGAGGUAGGCGGAAUGUGUUGUGUAGCGGUGAAAUGCUUAGAUAUAACACAGAACACCGAUUGCGAAGGCAGCUUACUAAACUGUAACUGACGCUGAUGCACGAAAGCGUGGGGAUCGAACAGGAUUAGAUACCCUGGUAGCACAGAG